GACCAGGAGGAGGACGAGGAGCAGAUGGGACAGCGCUAACCAACACAGCAGAAGCCUUGGUAGUGGAGGAUGACUGCCUUUGGAAGGAUUUGGCAGCACUUCUGGUGGAGCUGGUCUGGCCCUUCACCAACACCACAAACUCCUCCGAUGGUAUCGUGUCAAAGCGAACGUAGAAGACCCCUUUACCUCGAUCCUCCACGCUGCCGUUAACCAUCACUGAUGUGAAUAAUUCAACCAGAGUCACUCCCGGUUACUGUCACCCUCAAGGUAGUGUUUUCACCUUAAAAAUUCAAGUAUCAGGUAUGAGUUUGAUUGGAUUAUUUUUGGAAUAUCAAA